rnacentral:rRNA from 1 species
UACGUAGGGGGCAAGCGUUGUCCGGAUUUAUUGGGCGUAAAGAGCGUGUAGGCGGCUUUGCAAGUCCGUUGUGAAAACUCGAGGCUCAGCCUCGAGACGCCGGUGGAAACUGCAAAGCUAGAGUCCGGAAGAGGAGAGUGGAAUUCCUGGUGUAGCGGUGAAAUGCGCAGAUAUCAGGAAGAACACCCGUGGCGAAGGCGGCUCUCUGGGACGGUACUGACGCUGAGACGCGAAAGCGUGGGGAGCGAACAGG